GCGGUUCCUCCUGCUCUCUCGCGGUGCUGCGGUCAGCUUUUCUUCUCCAUCGGAAUGAUUCUACGCCAUAGGGGCGACUCUCUCUCUCUCUCUCUCUCUCUCUCUCUCUCUCUCUCUCUCUCUCUCUCUCUCUCUCUCUCUCUCUCUCUCUCUCUCCUCCUGCAUCCGUCUCUCUCUCUCUCUCCUUCCUCAGCCGCUGGAUGUCAUGCCGCCGGAUCUUGCAGCUCUUCCCUCUGCAGCCUGUGAUGUAGGAUCAUUACAGGAGUCGAUUUAAAAGGCGUUUAAAGCAAAUGGGCAGAGUCCGACUCCAGCCUCGUCUCUGGUCUGAUUCUAUUCAUCAGUGAAGUGAUCCUCAGGAGCAGCAAUGGCUUCCUGUACAUCUCACACUGACACCAUACAACUGUAGAAUGCAUUCUCUGCUGAAGACAAUGUUGUUAGUGCUGGUGGCGUCGGUGGUGCUGCUGAUGGCUGUGAUGCACUCAUGGCCCACUCGAGCCUACAGCACUGUGGACCUACGGCAGAGACCCGGCUCAGGGGUGGAGCGGCUGCUGGAGGAAAGGCUUCCUGACCCGGACCCGAGCGCCGGCUCCAUCCCGUACCAUGUGAAGGAUAACGUUGCAGGUCUUCUGGCUCGUAACGGCUGUGUGUGUGAGGCGGAGAGGGCUGCUGUGAAUUUACCUUUUGCCAAGCUGCUGUUCCCGCGAGUGUCUGCUCAGACUCUUCACACGGCCUUCCAACCUUCUCAGCUCGACGAAAUGAAGAGACGCCGCGCCAAAGAGUACCAGGGCUUCCAAAUGAGGUCACAGUCUCCUGCAGAUUUUCUGAUCGUAGCCGAAGCUAACAGCCCUCUCCAGUACCCAACGCAGGGUGUGGAGGUGCGGCCACUCAAGACCAUCCUCAUACCAGGUUUGGCCGUCAGAGACCUUCCAAGAGACAUUUACACUCUGAACUUCUCUGCAUCUCUCGGUACAUUUAAUGUGGCCGCAGAGGUGGAGGGGGUGAAGGUCAGAGGUGAGGGUGAGAUGCACAUGACGCUGAGCAGCUUCCUGUUACCCAACCUGAACCGCCAGCUACAGUUCAUCACCUACACAAACACACUGUUCCACCCCAGCACUGCUGACACAGUGCAGUUAGAGACAGAGGGGCAUCAGGCUCUUUUCACCAUCAAAAUCCGCCACGGCGUGACGCCCAAACUCUACAACACGGGCUCUAACGGGGAUAAAGAAUACAACAUCAGCUCUCUUGUGACCAUCGCCACCAAAACCUUCCUGCGCUAUAACAAGCUACAGGACCUGAUUGACAGCAUACGGCUCUACUACCCCACUGUUACCAUAGUGAUAGCUGACGACAGCGAAAACCCCAGGGUGGUGUCCGGCCCGUACAUCGAGCAUUACAUCAUGCCCUUCGGAAAGGGUUGGUUCGCAGGUCGUAAUCUGGCCGUGUCUCAAGUCACCACUAAGUACGUUCUGUGGGUGGACGAUGAUUUCAUCUUCACUGCCAACACCAAGCUGGAGAAACUGGUGGAUGUUCUGGAGAAAACCACACUGGACCUGGUGGGUGGUGCUGUGCGUGAAGCUACAGGAUACACCUCCACCUACAGGCAGACCAUCUCUAUCGAAUCUGGAGAGGAGGAUGGAGACUGUCUCCACAUGAGACGAGGUUUCCAUCACAUCAUCCAGGGGUUCCCCAACUGUGUGGUCACUGAUGGAGUCAUCAACUUUUUCCUGGCUCGGACAGACAAGGUGCGACAGGUGGGCUUCGACCCCCGGCUGGCUCGCGUCGCCCACCUCGAGUUUUUCAUAGAUGGCUUGGGUUUGCUCCACGUUGGCUCGUGUGAUGAUGUCAUCGUGAACCACGCCACCAAAAUCAAGCUUCCAUGGGGCCAAUCAGAGAGCGACAAAGCCUACGCCAAGUUCCGCUACCCUCCGGCCUCUUCAGACGCCACGCGUACAAAAAAUGGCCUCUUGUACUUUAAGAACCGCUUCCAGUGUCUGACACACAACUGACCGCCCACCUCUCCGUCCCGUCUAUCCCUCGUUCUGUCUUCCUCUUCCACAAGACUUCUCUUUAUUCGUCAGUAGCUGACGAGAGUCUUUGAGGAGACUCGGGGUCGCGUGGUGUCGGCUACGUCGUCACUUCCCUCAUAUCAGUGUGGGAAAUAAAAUACUUAGUCUCCUCCUUUUAGAGGGGCCAUGACAUCAUUCAGUGCUGACUGACAGCUGAGAGAUAACGGUCACGCGUUUGUGUGUGUGUGUGUGUGUGUGUGUGUGUGUGUGUGUGUGUGUGUUUGGAUGAUCAGUGGUCUGAUUUAUUUGGAUUUUUAUUUGAGAGGCUCAAGUGAUUCCCGUUGUUUCUCUUCUGUCAGUCGCAGUACAGAUCAUUCUGCUGGAUGUUUUUAAGGGGAUUUUUGAGGUGGAUUUCUUUCACGAUUUCUUUCACGAUUUUCUUUCAGAAAAUAAAAAAAUUCUUUAUUUGAAACUGAAAUUCUAUAAAAUAAAAAAUGUGGAUGAUGGAUGAAUUUUUACCCUUAAACGCUUAAGCUCUUAAAGGUGCAGUCUGUGAUUGAAAGGAAGCCCCGCCCUAAAAUAACACACAAAAAACAUAAAUACUAGGGUAGGAGGCGGAGCUUUGGGACAGGUGAGUAAAGACGCCUACUUGUCCUGAUUGGUUGAUGUCUGUGGUCCAUCGUGUGUUUACAGUCUGAGGAGAAACCAAACAUUUCACACCACUUUACUGACACGUAACUACUAUCGUGUCACUACUUUCACAAUAGCGUGUGUGUGUGUGUGUGUGUGUGUGUGUGUGUGUGUGUGUGUGUGUGUGUGUACUUGAGUUUUCUCUCAAUGUUUGCACUAAAACAUAAGGAUACAAUGGUGAGAUCACGACUCAAGUGAAUUCAGGAAGAACUAAACCCCCUGACACUUUCUCCACCUGAGGACCGUGUGGCUCAGGAACCGAUCCUUCAUCACGCAUCUCCUCAGUAUUUACAUGACUGACGUACUGACACGUACCUGCUGGAGCUAACGGUUCAUUGGUUAAUGUCACUCUGAGAUAUCUGUAAGAGAUCAUUAUAUGAGGAUGAUCAGACUGAAACAGAUCAGAUACCUGGGGGUUAUAAACACUGCCUUGCUGUUCAAAUUAGAUGUUUUUUUUUUCUUAACUCAGCAAUGCUUGCUAAAUGUGAUGGCUGUGGAAACGACAUGCAGCAAAGUAGCUAAAAGGAAUCAGAUUAGUGAGAGAUGGGUGAUCAGACAGAACAGUGAUCAGACAGAACAGUGAUCAGACAGAACAGUGAUCAGACAGAACAGUGAUCAGACAGAACAGUGAUCAGACAGAACAGUGAUCAGACUGAACAGUGAUCAGACUGAACAGUGAUCAGACAGAACAGUGAUCAGACAGAACAGUGAUCAGACAGAACAGUGAUCAGACAGAACUGUGAUCAGACAGAACAGUGAUCAGACUGAACAGUGAUCAGACUGAACAGUGAUCAGACAGAGCUGUGAUCAGACUGAACAGUGAUCAGACAGAGCUGUGAUCAGACUGAACAGUGAUCAGACAGAGCUGUGAUCAGACAGAACUGUGAUCAGACUGAACAGUGAUCAGACAGAGCUGUGAUCAGACUGAACAGUGAUCAGACAGAGCUGUGAUCAGACUGAACAGUGAUCAGACAGUACAGUGAUCAGACUGAACAGUGAUCAGACAGAGCUGUGAUCAGACAGAACAGUGAUCAGACAGAACAGUGAUCAGACAGAACAGUGAUCAGACAGUACAGUGAUCAGACUGAACAGUGAUCAGACAGAGCUGUGAUCAGACAGAAAGGUGAUCAGACAGAAAGGUGAUCAGACAGAACAGUGAUCAGACAGAGCUGUGAUCAGACAGAAAGGUGAUCAGACAGAAAGGUGAUCAGACAGUACAGUGAUCAGACUGAACAGUGAUCAGACAGAGCUGUGAUCAGACAGAACAGUGAUCAGACAGAACAGUGAUCAGACUGAACAGUGAUCAGACAGAACAGUGAUCAGACAGAACAGUGAUCAGACAGAACAGUGAUCAGACAGAGCAGUGAUCAGACAGAACAGUGAUCAGACAGAAAGGUGAUCAGACAGAAAGGUGAUCAGAUGAAGUGAUCAGACAGAACAGUGAUCAGACAGAGCAGUGAUCAGACAGAGCUGUGAUCAGACAGAACAGUGAUCAGACAGAACAGUGAUUAGACAGAAAGGUGAUCAGACAGAAAGGUGAUCAGAUGAAGUGAUCAGACAGUUUUGUUCACCCACAUGAUCAGACUGAUGCUUGUGCUCCUGUAAGCUAAAGACUUUUCCUGUCUAUAAGGCAGAUUAGCAGCAGAACGACUCUGACAUUAGAUUAUUGGGGGUCUGAUCUGAUGACUCGUGUAGACUUUAGUGAGAUUCCAUAAGUGCAUGUAAACAUUUUGCACAUGACGUCCACAUGCCAAGCCUGAAAAACAUUACACACACACUAAAGGUCACCAGGUCACAUCUCAGGUUUAAACGAUGUGUUAAUGAAGGAGUGUGUGAGCCCUAUUUGGAUGUGAUUACUUUGUCCUGGGGGAAGGUGUGUGUGUGUGUGUGUGUGUGUGUGUGUGUGUGUGUGUGAUGUACUUAUUACUGUGGGAUCACCAAGGUUUUUUCUAUAAAAUACCAUUUCUUUUUCUUUUCCUAACACAAGUACAAAGUGAGAGUUUACAGUAAAGUGCAUGUCCAAUAGCAUGAGUAGCUCCUGAAGCCUGUUUCUGUGUUUAUAAGACAUUUGUAUGAUUGUGUCACUUAUAACAGAGCAAAAGAACUGCAUAAGUCCUACAGCCACAUUCCUGAACACACACAAGUCCUACAUAAAUAAAUAAAUAAAUAAAUAUAAAACUGAUCAAAUCUGAACAGAUUUUUUGGUUUAUGGAAGUUUGAGCUGUAAAAAAGUGAACAGUGACGUUUAGCGUGAGAGAAAACUACACAGGUCUGUUUUACUCUCACACAUGUUCUGUUCUGUGGGAACUGUUCUGUCUGAUCUCUACUCUGAUCAGACAGUAGUGAUCAGACAGUAGUGAUCAGACAGAACAGUGAUCAGACAGUACAGUGAUCAGACAGAACAGUGAUCAGACAGAACAGUGAUCAGACAGAGCUGUGAUCAGACAGAACAGUGAUCAGACAGAGCUGUGAUCAGACAGACAAGUGAUCAGACAGAGCAGUGAUCAGACAGACUAGUGAUCAGACAGAGCUGUGAUCAGACAGACUAGUGAUCAGACAGAGCUGUUAUUAGACAGUACAGUGAUCAGACAGACUAGUGAUCAGACAGACUAGUGAUCAGACAGAACAGUGAUCAGACAGAGCAGUGAUCAGACAGACUAGUGAUCAGACAGAGCUGUGAUCAGACAGAACAGUGAUCAGACAGAGCAGUGAUCAGACAGACUAGUGAUCAGACAGAGCUGUGAUCAGACAGAGCUGUGAUCAGACAGAGCUGUGAUCAGACAGACUAGUGAUCAGACAGACUAGUGAUCAGACAGAGCUGUGAUCAGACAGUACAGUGAUCAGACAGACUAGUGAUCAGACAGACUAGUGAUCAGACAUACUAGUGAUCAGACAGAGCUGUGAUCAGACAGACUAGUGAUCAGACAGACUAGUGAUCAGACAGAGCUGUGAUCAGACAGUACAGUGAUCAGACAGAUUAGUGAUCAGACAGACUAGUGAUCAGACAGACUAGUGAUCAGACAGAGCUGUGAUCAGACAGACUAGUGAUCAGACAGAACAGUGAUCAGACAGAGCUGUGAUCAGACAGAAAGGUGAUCAGACAGAAAGGUGAUCAAACAGAGCUGUGAUCAGACAGAAAGGUGAUCAGAUGAAGUGAUCAGACAGUACAGUGAUCAGACAACAGUGAUCAGACAGAGCAGUGAUCAGACAGAGCUGUGAUCAGACAGAACAGUGAUCAGACAGAACAGUGAUCAGACAGAACAGUGAUUAGACAGAAAGGUGAUCAGACAGAACAGUGAUCAGACAGAACAGUGAUUAGACAGAAAGGUGAUCAGACAGAAAGGUGAUCAGAUGAAGUGAUCAGACAGUUUUGUUCACCCACAUGAUCAGACUGAUGCUUGUGCUCCUGUAAGCUAAAGACUUUUCCUGUCUAUAAGGCAGAUUAGCAGCAGAACGACUCUGACAUUAGAUUAUUGGGGGUCUGAUGAUUACAUUUAGUUCUCCAGUGAAAAGCUGUAACUGCUGCAUUGUGCUCGAGUGAUGCAGUGAUGGAGAUCAGAUCCCACCUUUAUCAUCAUUAUUAAACUGAUUAUUGAGCUUUUUUAAAAGGGAUUUUUAUGUAUUAUUAACCUGUUUGACUGGUCACAUGACUUACUGGACUGGUCACAUGACUUACUGGACUGGUCACAUGACUUACUGGACUGGUCACAUGACUUAAACACAUAUUCUGUACAAUUCUGUUAACAAUUUUAAUACAAAUUGUGUUCUGUAAAGUUGAGUAAAGUUCAGGAAUAAAAAAGCCUCAUGGCUUCACAUUUACAUAAUGAGCUUAAUACUGAGACUCUGCUUACAAACCAAAUGUGACUCCUUGCGAUAUAAAUCCACAGUCAUGACCCACAAGCGGACACCAGGGGGCGCUCAACACGCGGGAGUAAAAGUUUUUGUCCAUUCUGCAGCCACGUCCCUUUAAUGUGUGUUCAGAGAUGUCAAAACUCAUGUACACCUGAUUUAAGUGACUGUGUUUAUUCAUGAGUGGCUCUGAGAGGCUGACUGUGAUGUUACAUUCAUUUUGGCUGUUAAUUAUUAAAUAAUGCUAAUUUAUGAUUGUUACAGAAGUAAAACCCUGUUCUUUCA